UACGGAGGGGGCCAGCGUUGCUCGGAAUUAUUGGGCGUAAAGGGCGCGUAGGCGGCCAGGUAAGUUUGAUGUGAAAUCCCCCGGCUUAACCUGGGAACUGCGUCUGAUACUGGGAGGCUGGAGUAUGGGAGAGGGAGGUAGAAUUCCAGGUGUAGCGGUGAAAUGCGUAGAUAUCUGGAGGAAUACCGGUGGCGAAGGCGGCCUCCUGGACCAUAACUGACGCUGAUCCGCGAAAGCUAGGGGAGCAAACGGGA
rnacentral:rRNA from 1 species